GAAACCGUGUGCUUACAAGUAGUCAGAGCCCGUUAAUGGGUGAUGGCGUGCCUUUUGUAGAAUGAACCGGCGAGUUACGAUUUGAUGCAAGGUUAAGCAGUAAAUGUGGAGCCGUAGCGAAAGCGAGUCUGAAUAGGGCGUUUAGUAUUUGGUCGUAGACCCGAAACCAGGUGAUCUACCCUUGGUCAGGUUGAAGUUCAGGUAACACUGAAUGGAGGACCGAACCGACUUACGUUGAAAAGUGAGCGGAUGAACUGAGGGUAGCGGAGAAAUUCCAAUCGAACCUGGAGAUAGCUGGUUCUCUCCGAAAUAGCUUUAGGGCUAGCCUCAAGUGAUGAUUAUUGGAGGUAGAGCACUGUUUGGACGAGGGGCCCCUCUCGGGUUACCGAAUUCAGACAAACUCCGAAUGCCAAUUAAUUUAACUUGGGAGUCAGAACAUGGGUGAUAAGGUCCGUGUUCGAAAGGGAAACAGCCCAGACCACCAGCUAAGGUCCCAAAAUAUAUGUUAAGUGGAAAAGGAUGUGGCGUUGCCCAGACAACUAGGAUGUUGGCUUAGAAGCAGCCAUCAUUUAAAGAGUGCGUAAUAGCUCACUAGUCGAGUGACACUGCGCCGAAAAUGUACCGGGGCUAAACAUAUUACCGAAGCUGUGGAUUGUCCUUUGGACAAUGGUAGGAGAGCGUUCUAAGGGCGUUGAAGCAUGAUCGUAAGGACAUGUGGAGCGCUUAGAAGUGAGAAUGCCGGUGUGAGUAGCGAAAGACGGGUGAGAAUCCCGUCCACCGAUUGACUAAGGUUUCCAGAGGAAGGCUCGUCCGCUCUGGGUUAGUCGGGUCCUAAGCUGAGGCCGACAGGCGUAGGCGAUGGAUAACAGGUUGAUAUUCCUGUACCACCUAUAAUCGUUUUAAUCGAUGGGGGGACGCAGUAGGAUAGGCGAAGCGUGCGAUUG
rnacentral:rRNA from 1 species